rnacentral:rRNA from 1 species
GAUGAACGCUGGCGGCGUGCUUAACACAUGCAAGUCGAACGGAAAGGCUCCUGCUUGCAGUGAUACUCGAGUGGCGAACGGGUGAGUAACACGAGGGUGAUCUGCCCUGCACUUCGGGAUAAGCCUGGGAAACUGGGUCUAAUACCGGAUAGGACGAUGGAUUGGAUGCCAUUGUGGAAAGUUUUUCGGUGUGGGAUGAGCUCGCGGCCUAUCAGCUUGUUGGUGGGGUAAUGGCCUACCAAGGCGUCGACGGGUAGCCGGCCGGAGAGGGUGUACGGCGACAUUGGGACUGAGAUACGGCCCAGACUCCUACGGGAGGCAGCAGUGGGGAAUAUUGCACAAUGGGCGCAAGCCUGAUGCAGCGACGCCGCGUGGGGGAUGACGGCCUUCGGGUUGUAAACUCCUUUCGCUAGGGACGAAGCGCAAGUGACGGUACCUGGAGAAGAAGCACCGGCUAACUACGUG